GUGCUCGCUUCAGUAGCACGUAUACUAAAAUUGGAAUGCUAGAAGAUUAGCACGUGUGGCAAGGAUGACACAUAGAUUCAUGUAGCAUUCCAGGCUUUU
ensembl:snRNA U6 U6 spliceosomal RNA